rnacentral:rRNA from 1 species
UACAGAGGUCCCAAGCGUUGUUCGGAUUCAUUGGGCGUAAAGGGUGCGUAGGUGGCAUGGUAAGUCGGGUGUGAAAUCCCGGGGCUCAACCCCGGAACUGCACUCGAUACUGCCGUGCUCGAGUACUGGAGAGGAGACUGGAAUUUACGGUGUAGCAGUGAAAUGCGUAGAUAUCGUAAGGAAGACCGGUGGCGAAGGCUAGUCUCUGGACAGUUCCUGACACUGAGGCACGAAGGCCAGGGGAGCAAACGGG